AUUGAACGCUGGCGGCAUGCCUUACACAUGCAAGUCGAACGGCAGCACGGGAGCUUGCUCCUGGUGGCGAGUGGCGAACGGGUGAGUAAUACAUCGGAACGUACCCUGAAGUGGGGGAUAACGUAGCGAAAGUUACGCUAAUACCGCAUAUUCUGUGAGCAGGAAAGAGGGGGAUCGCAAGACCUCUUGCUUUAGGAGCGGCCGAUGUCGGAUUAGCUAGUUGGUGAGGUAAAGGCUCACCAAGGCGACGAUCCGUAGCGGGUCUGAGAGGAUGAUCCGCCACGCUGGGACUGAGACACGGCCCAGACUCCUACGGGAGGCAGCAGUGGGAAUUUUGGACAAUGGGCGCAAGCCUGAUCCAGCCAUGCCGCGUGAGUGAAGAAGGCCUUCGGUUGUU
rnacentral:rRNA from 1 species